GAGUGGGGACCCGCGAGACGGCGGUAGAGAGACAUCUUUGUUGUGGGCAAAAUACGCCGACCUCAAGUAACGUUGGAGGUACUUAAAUUUGAUCCACGGUUAGCGCUAAUUAGCGUGCGUGAUCUUAGUUUACAAGGCUUAUACUAGAAAGAAAGAUAAUGUGCUUGAUCACCAGGUUGAUUCUACUUACCAGCUGUAAAAACAUCUGCAUACAGGUGACCUCAGGAAGGCUAUCCUUGACCUCAUCUGACCUCUGACAUUACCUUGCCGGAUUUCCUCCAUAGCACCUGUCGUCAACUGGACUUCUCUUGCCAUUAUUGGGAUUUUGUCUGUUUGCCUAUUGCCUGUCUUCAUCACCGGGAUAUAAGCUUUGUGAGAGCAGAAACUUUGGCUCCUGAUAUUUCUAGCGCCUAGAAUAGUCAUGGCACAUGGUAGUGUUCAAUAAAAUUUUUUUUGUUUAAAUAAAUGAGUGAAUGAAUAGAUAACUGUGAGCAAAGACGGGGGAGAACAUGUCAUGAACAAUUACAGAUUAUUAAUGGGCAAAUCGAUCAUAGUCAUGGGACCCUGAGGAAAUUACUUCAUUCUUAUUUGUGAACUAUAGAUGAUACAAACUACCUUUCAGGGUUAUCAUUAGG